rnacentral:rRNA from 1 species
UACGUAGGUGGCGAGCGUUGUCCGGAAUUACUGGGUGUAAAGGGCGUGUAGGCGGGAGAGUAAGUCAGAUGUGAAAUUCCUAGGCUUAACCUGGGCACUGCAUCUGAAACUAUUUUUCUUGAGUGCUGGAGAGGAAAGCGGAAUUCCUAGUGUAGCGGUGAAAUGCGUAGAUAUUAGGAGGAACACCAGUGGCGAAGGCGGCUUUCUGGACAGUAACUGACGCUGAGGCGCGAAAGCGUGGGGAGCAAACGGG